AUUAGGAAUCUUGCGCAAUGGGCGAAAGCCUGACGCAGCGACGCCGCGUGCAGGAUGACGGCCUUCGGGUUGUAAACUGCUUUUAAGAGGGAAGAAGAACUGACUGUACUUCUUGAAUAAGCCCCGGCUAACUACGUGCCAGCAGCCGCGGUAAUACGUAGGGGGCGAGCGUUGUCCGAAGUUACUGGGCGUAAAGCGCGCGUAGGCGGACCUUUAAGUUGGGGGUGAAAUUCCGAGGCUCAACCACGGAACUGCCUUCAAAACUGGGGGUCUUGAGGUAUGGAGAGGGAAGUGGAAUUCCUGGUGUAGCGGUGAAAUGCGUAGAUAUCAGGAGGAACACCCGUGGCGAAGGCGGCUUCCUGGCCAUAACCUGACGCUGAGGUGCGAAAGCCAGGGGAGCGAACGGGAUUAGAAACCCUAGUAGUCC
rnacentral:rRNA from 1 species